rnacentral:rRNA from 1 species
GGUAGAGAUACCUUAGUGCCUUCGGGAACUGUGAGACAGGUGCUGCAUGGCUGUCGUCAGCUCGUGUUGUGAAAUGUUGGGUUAAGUCCCGCAACGAGCGCAACCCUUAUCCUUUGUUGCCAGCACGUAAUGGUGGGAACUCAAAGGAGACUGCCGGUGAUAAACCGGAGGAAGGUGGGGAUGACGUCAAGUCAUCAUGGCCCUUACGAGUAGGGCUACACACGUGCUACAAUGGCGUAUACAAAGAGAAGCGACCUCGCG